CUCAGGCCCAGGGGCUAGCCACGUGACUUCGUAUAAAUCUUGUAACCGUCCGAAGCCUGUUUUGCCUUAGGAAGUAUGGGAGUAGUAGCACAGACCUCAUACUUUCCCUGCGCGAGGGAGAGGUGACCAAAUCGCCUACACAAUGUGUUGCACCUAGAAGCGCCCGUGAUUAUUAGUGGUUAGGUGUUAACAUUAAGGAGCAACUCAGGCCAAGGACGCCGCGGGGCUGGCGUCGCUGCGGGGGGGUGGAAAGCUGAGCACGGGGGAGCUCUGAGCUUGCGGCCCCCACCCCACGCCCCGAAGCCCGGCUGUGUGCGGACGCCUUCACCCUCCAGUCUAGGUGGUCGAUGGCUUCUUUGUGUUCUAGAGCUCUCCCUGACAAACGCAGACACCCUGGAGGGCUCCACCGCCUUCCCUCCCUCCAGCGCGGGUUAGGACUCCCCCCACCCACGAAUGGCUCCGUCCCCGGGCCAAAAAUCAGUAGACCCAGACAACCUGUAGGGUUGGUUCGGCCUUUUCUUUCAUUCUUCUGAUUAGAAACAGUCCCAGAGGCGACGCGAUUUGCCCGAAGUCUGCAACUUCCUGGAACUGGAAACCAAUCGGAAGACUUCCGCGUCGCGGCUCUUUCCGCAGUGAUCAGGUUACCCAGCGCCUCGGGACCUGCUUUUGAAGAGGAGAGGUCGACCUGGGAGAGCCGCUGAACGAGAUACUCUUCGGAAUCGGAUAUUUUCCUCGAAGUGGGAUUACUGGGUUGAAGGGUAUGCACAUAUGUAAGGCUCUUGAUUCAGAGUCCCUCCAGCCGCGCCAGAAUGAGUGAGUCAGCUUCCCAGCAAGCUGGCCAAAACUCGGUGGAGAUUGGACUAACUUUAAAGAAAUAUUCUUAAGGAGCACCGAGAAAUCCUGUGUGGAAAAGGAGACCGUGACAGCAGGCACAUUCUGCCCAGUGAGGUGAAACCAAAGGGCUCCAAUGGUCUGGUGUGAUUUGACCAGAAGAUGUAAACACAUUUGAGCCUUGCUCCAGAGGCUUCCCCUGAGCAAGGGAGGGGAAGCUGUGACUUACUAGCUUCCCUAUGUUUGUUAUUUUUUGUUAUUUUCACUUCCUGAUGAGGAGUAAAUGUUUCAUAAAGCAAAUGAAAACCCCGUGUAAUUAUCUUUAAGGACAGCAAGAAAAAGUAGAAGUGGGAAAACUAGUUCACUUUAACGUCAUGGGAAAGGGGGAGGGGGGAGGGGUGAAGUUUGAAGCCUGUUUCCAGGCGGUGGGAGGGAAGUCCCUGAAGAUGGGGCUGGCAGUGGGGCGGGGAGGGAGUGAGCAAGAGGCUUCCCAGGGCUCUGGAGACUUCCUUCUGGAAAGGCUGCUAUGUGUUUGUAGCGCUUAUGAGGCCUGUGGUCCCUGGGGACCUGGAAGGGGCGUUUAAUGGACUUUUGAGGAUCAAAGUCAGAUUGCCAGGGACAAAGGAAGGUUGUGAGGAAAUGGAGGCCACUGCAUCUCCGGCCGUGCUCCGGGGAUGGGGAGAAGGUACCUGUGGCAUUUUCCCCGGACAACGGGAGAUGGUGGUCCCUAGAGCUUUUGUGGGCUGUGAAACGGUGGGCGCUUCUCCCCCAGUCUGAGCCGCUCCCCAACUCUUACGAUAUCCGCUAGGUUCUUUUAUAAACCACACCCGAGAGGAUAACUGAUUUGCCAAUGUUUACAGGCAGUUUUAUUUACUAAUCUAGCUCUCAUUUACUGUCAACUAAAUUUAAAGUCCUAAUUACAGUCCUCAGCAUUUUCCUGAUAAUAAACAUACAGGAUGUGUUUUAUGUUUGUUUGUUUUUUUUUUUAACUGUGGGGUAGUUUAUUUUCUUGAUUACUUUAAAUUUCCUAUUAAAGUCUUAAAUUUAACCAUCAGCUUCUCACAGCGAUCUAUGAACUUUUCUGCCACUUUAAUUCUUCUAAAAGGGCUCAAGCCAAAUGCGAACCAGGGGUUCUUAGAGGUUUCAGUGAAUGAUUUCAAAGCCUUGUCACACUUCAAAAUCACUUGGCGGCCUUCAAAAAAUUAGUUUUCCCUCCCUCUUGGGAGACUAAUUUUUGUAGGGCUGGGACAUACUCAGAAACUAGUAUUUUUGAAAAACCUCCUCAGUGAUUCUUAAGUUGUUGCUAUAAAAGCCAGUUUUGGGAAACUGUUGUCUAAAUGCUAAAUCUAUUUUGUCUGUCUUGUUUGUUUGUUUGUUUUUAUUUAAAGAAACUCAUGCUUGUGGAGCAAGCAGGGAAGGGGUUGGGGGUGGGGGUAGAGAAUCUCAAGCAGUCUCCACGCUUUCAGAGCAGGGCUCUCACCCAUGAAUUAUGGAAUCGUGACCUGAGCCAAAACCAAGAGUCGGACGUUUAACCAAGUAAACCACCCAGGCACCCCUAUUUUGUUUGUCUUUUAGUGAAAUUUGGAAAUGGCAGCUUUAACUUCCAAAAUGUUAAAUAAUGCUUUGCAUUUCCGGAAAAUUCUUUUUUUUCACCUCCAUCGCCACCCACCCAGGGCUUGAACUUCCUGAACCCUUCAGUCCUUCCUUACCUAACACUUGAUGCCGGAUGAUGCCAUUGUUUUCACCAAUCGGUGUCCCCUCUGGUUUUCCUAGAUUCCUGCUUUCUCCCUGUGGCAGCAUAUUUUGGGCUUUCUUUUGUGAAUGACAGUUGGCCUUUCUUCCUGUGCUUUCUUAAGCCCUGCUGCUCUUCAAGGUGUCCUGGAUACUUGAGGUAACGGACCAGGCGCCAUAGAAUCCGCUCCCACAACUGGCAUAAGGUCUUAGCUCAGGUACUAUGACAGGCAGCUUCCGAGCUGGCCCCCACUGAUCCCUGGCUCCUCAUAUCCAGCCCUUGGGAUUCUGAAGAAAGGAAUGUGGCAGAAGCUGCCUUGUUGUGAACUGCUCUGUGAUGAAGGCCAUGUGACAAGGAGCAGAGGGAAGCCUCCGGCCAAAAACCUGUGAGGACCUGAAUCCUUCCAGCAAUGAUGUGAGUGAGCUUGGCCCAGGGGUCCCCCCCCCAGCUGGGCCUUCAGAUGAGAUGGCCGCCCCAGCAGUCAGCAUUAACCGCAACCUCAUGGAAGACCUUCCGCCACGAGAGGCAGCCAGUUAAGCCAUGCCUGGAUUCCUGACCCCAAAAAAAAAAAAA